AUUGAACGCUGGCGGCAGGCCUAACACAUGCAAGUCGAGCGAGCGGCGGACGGGUGAGUAAUGUAUGGGGAACUGCCUGAUGGAGGGGGAUAACUACUGGAAACGGUAGCUAAUACCGCAUACUAUCAGAUGUGCCCAGAUGGGAUUAGCUAGUAGGUGGGGUAAAGGCUCACCUAGGCGACGAUCCCUAGCUGGUCUGAGAGGAUGACCAGCCACACUGGGCCUGAGACCCGGCCCAGACUCCUACGGGAGGCAGCAGUGGGGAAUAUUGCACAAUGGGCGCAAGCCUGAUGCAGCCAUGCCGCGUGUGUGAAGAAGGCCUUCGGGUUGUAAAGUACUUUCAGCGAGGAGGCGUUACCCGCAGAAGAAGCACCGGCUAACUCCGUGCCAGCAGCCGCGGUAAUAC
rnacentral:rRNA from 1 species